rnacentral:pre_miRNA from 1 species
AAUAAACUAAUUUUUCAUUUUUUACCUUCAAUUCUUUUGAUUCUUAGUCUUAUUCAAAAAUUUUUUGCUAUUGAUAUUUUUGUUUUUAUUAAAUGAUAAAUCAUGACUGGUACUUUACGUGUGACUAAUUUUUUUUAAUUUCCUAAACAUUUUCAAAUAAGACGGAUGGUUAAACGUUGGACAUGAAAACCAGAGAAUUCAUUUUUU